rnacentral:rRNA from 1 species
AUUGAACGCUGGCGGCAUGCCUUACACAUGCAAGUCGAACGGCAGCACGGGAGUAAUCCUGGUGGCGAGUGGCGAACGGGUGAGUAAUAUAUCGGAACGUGCCCAGUCGUGGGGGAUAACGUAGCGAAAGCUACGCUAAUACCGCAUACGAUCUACGGAUGAAAGCGGGGGAUCGCAAGACCUCGCGCGAUUGGAGCGGCCGAUAUCAGAUUAGCUAGUUGGUGGGGUAAAAGCCCACCAAGGCGACGAUCUGUAGCUGGUCUGAGAGGACGACCAGCCACACUGGAACUGAGACACGGUCCAGACUCCUACGGGAGGUAGCAGUGGGGAAUUUUGGACAAUGGGCGAAAGCCUGAUCCAGCAAUGCCGCGUGCAGGACGAAGGCCUUCGGGUUGUAAACUGCUUUUGUACGGAACGAAACGGUCUCUUUUAAUACAGGGGGGCUAAUGACGGUACCGUAAGAAUAAGCACCGGCUAACUACGUGCCAGCCGCCGCGGUAA